GGGCUCGUAGCUCAGUGGUUAGAGCGCUUACCUGAUAAGUAAGAGGUCCCUGGUUCGAUCCCAGGCGAGCCCA
rnacentral:tRNA from 1 species